GAGGGUGAGCAGGGAAGUACGUUCCCCUGUAGGACAGCACAGCGGGCUACAGCGCUGAGGCAAUAGACAUGGCGGCGAGAGCCAGUCGGUCUCUUCAGCCAGAUGUAGCCGGUGCUGCCACAGUGCCUCCCAGUCAGCUAGUAGGAGAAGAAAUACGUACUUCUUGCGGCCAUUCAGGACAGUGUGCGCAGACUUGGAAAGGGUGGGGCGGCGGAGCGACUUAGGACGAGACGGGUAGAUG